rnacentral:tRNA from 1 species
AUUUGAGUAUCUUAAAAUAAAGUAUAACUCUGAAGAAGUUAAUAUGGGUGUAAUACCCCUCAAAUA